rnacentral:tRNA from 2 species
CGGGCCGUGGCGCAGCCUGGCUAGCGCGCUUGCUUGGGGUGCAAGAGGUCGCGAGUUCAAAUCUCGCCGGCCCGACCA